AUUGAACGCUGGCGGCAUGCCUUACACAUACAAGUCGAACGGCAGCACGGGAGCAAUCCUGGUGGCGAGUGGCGAACGGGUGAGUAAUAUAUCGGAACGUGCCCAGUCGUGGGGGAUAACGCAGCGAAAGCUGUGCUAAUACCGCAUACGAUCUACGGAUGAAAGCGGGGGAUCGCAAGACCUCGCGCGAUUGGAGCGGCCGAUAUCAGAUUAGCUAGUUGGUGAGGUAAAAGCUUACCAAGCCGACGAUCUGUAGCUGGUCUGAGAGGACGACCAGCCACACUGGGACUGAGACACGGCCCAGACUCCUACGGGAGGCAGCAGUGGGGAAUUUUGGACAAUGGGCGCAAGCCUGAUCCAGCCAUGCCGCGUGCAGGAUGAAGGCCUUCGGGUUGUAAACUGCUUUUGUACGGAACGAAAAAGUUCUCUCUAAUACAGGGGGCGAAUGACGGUACCGUAAGAAUAAGCACCGGCUAACUACGUGCCAGCCGCCGCAGUAACAC
rnacentral:rRNA from 1 species